rnacentral:rRNA from 1 species
UACGGAAGGCAGCAGUGGGGAAUAUUGCACAAUGGGCGCAAGCCUGAUGCAGCCAUGCCGCGUGUAUGAAGAAGGCCUUCGGGUUGUAAAGUACUUUCAGUCGUGAGGAAGGUGUUAAGGUUAAUAACCUUAGCAAUUGACGUUAGCGACAGAAGAAGCACCGGCUAACUCCGUGCCAGCAGCCGCGGUAAUACGGAGGGUGCGAGCGUUAAUCGGAAUUACUGGGCGUAAAGGGCACGCAGGCGGUUAAUUAAGUUGGAUGUGAAAUCCCCGGGCUUAACCUGGGAAUGGCACUCAAGACUGGUUAGCUAGAGUCUUGUAGAGGGGGUAGAAUUCCAUGUGUAGCGGUGAAAUGCGUAGAGAUGUGGAGGAAUACCGGUGGCGAAGGCGGCCCCCUGGGACAAAGACUGACGCUCAUGUGCGAAAGCGUGGGGAGCAAACAGGAUUAGAUACC